AUGGUGGAGGACAAAGAGAAAAGGUCUCGUUCCAUCAUUCUCACCCCUCUCACUGUCGCGAUCGGUAGCUUCCUAGGCGACCGCCGAACACUCUGCUCCCCACCACCUUGCCGCCCCAAACUCUUCUCCACCGCACCGUCCAACAUUCUCCUCCACCACAUCAAUCUCCCAUCUCGCCGCGCCUUAACCAACCUCUUCUCCGGAAUUAAUCGGUUUGAGGUUGUUACUGUCUCAAAGUAA